UAGUCCUAAAUUAUGGAAACAGAAUGAAGUUUUUUCGAAGGUGUAUGCCCAAGCCCUCUGACAAUCAGGAUGUUCUUGUAAUCAAUCAACUUUACGACUUACUUCAAAAUCAUGGUGACAAUAUUUUGUCUGGCUGUUCAAAAUUGAGUUUAACAGCUCCAGUUUUAUCUUUGCUAAAUGAUUUAUUUCUGAAACUAACUACAGGCACAAAUCAACCAGAAUUUCAAGAUCUUCAUUCCAAAGAAAA
rnacentral:lncRNA from 1 species